UACAGAGGGGCAAGCGUUGUUCGGAAUUACUGGGCGUAAAGGGCGCGUAGGCGGCCUUCUAAGUCGAACGUGAAAUCCCCGGGCUCAACCCGGGAACUGCGUCCGAUACUGGAAGGCUUGAAUCCGGGAGAGGGUAUGCGGAAUUUCGAGGUGUAGCGGUGAAAUGCGUAGAUAUCUGGAGGAACACCGGUGGCGAAGGCGGCAGUCCUGGACCGGCAUUGACGCUGAGGCGCGGAAAGCGUG
rnacentral:rRNA from 1 species